rnacentral:rRNA from 1 species
GACGAACGCUGGCGGCGUGCUUAACACAUGCAAGUCGAACGAAAAGAGGGAAGAGCUUGCUCUUUCCGGAAUUGAGUGGCAAACGGGUGAGUAACACGUAAACAACCUGCCUUCAGGAUGGGGACAACAGACGGAAACGACUGCUAAUACCGAAUAAGUUCCAAGAGCCGCAUGGCCCAUGGAAGAAAAGGUGGCCUCUACCUGUAAGCUAUCGCCUGAAGAGGGGUUUGCGUCUGAUUAGCUGGUUGGAGGGGUAACGGCCCACCAAGGCGACGAUCAGUAGCCGGUCUGAGAGGAUGAACGGCCACACUGGAACUGAGACACGGUCCAGACUCCUACGGGAGGCAGCAGUGGGGAAUCUUCCGCAAUGGGCGAAAGCCUGACGGAGCAACGCCGCGUGAGUGAUGACGGCCUUCGGGUUGUAAAACUCUGUGAUCCGGGACGAAAAGGCAGAGUGCGAAGAACAAACUGCAUUGACGGUACCGGAAAAGCAAGCCACGGCUAACUACGUG